rnacentral:lncRNA from 1 species
UAGAUGUGGCCCCCACUGGCUGGAUGCCCGGCUCUGCCGUCUCCCACACCCUCUGGCAUCGCGGUGCCCUGAGGGCGGCUAGGCUUUGGACUCUCCUUUAACUCCUGUCAUCCACCCUGCUUCCUGCCUCAUGACUCUGCCGGCUCUGGACCCACCUGGCGGCCCACACCCAGGAUCAGCAGAUAACCUUCGAGUAAAUGCGGUCCUGAGAGCCCAGAGAAAAAGAAGAGUUGCCAUAAACAAAUCUUUCAAAACCUGGGAGCCGUGCACAAAGACCAUGGACCCCCUGGGCUGCGAGCCCCUCCCCGCCCCGCUCCAUCCUCCACACCCACCGGACGCCUGGCUGUGGCGUGGCGGGCUCUGUGUCCACCUGCGGCCCCUCUGCGGCCCCACCUGGCAGGGGCCCAGGGGUUAGGAUGCAGGUCCCUCUGCGGCGUUGCUGUCGGACUGCAGGCUGGCUUGGAGUGACCUCCCUCUGGCACCCUUCAGGGAAGACUUGACUGCUGUGCAAACCGCCGCCCGGGCCCCUCUGCCUGAGCCAGCCCGUGCAGGUGCCACACCUCCGCCUCCCGCCACCAUCCGUCCAGACCUGGGCCUGCCCCUCCCCCUCCUCCCUCCCCCCUCCUCCUCCCCUCCCCCCCUUCUCCCCCCUCCACCCUUCCCCGCUCCUCUUCAUGCCCAGCCCUCCUCUGUCUGGUCCACCCUCCCUCUGUCCACCGGCCACACUGGCCCCCGGGGGGAUGUGAGCUCUGGGGCCGGGGGAGGGGGGCGCAGGGCGUCUGGCUGCUGCCAUCUUCUUCCUCCUGGAGACUUCAUCCUGCGGAACCCACCCAUCGCUCCGUCCCGCUAAGUGAGCCUGUAGCGACUGUGGGUUGUUCAUGCCACCGGGACAGCCAGUGCCAAAUGUUCUCGGCCCCACGCGGGACCUCCCGAGGGAGAGGCCCUCCCGUGGGGUCAGACUGAGCAAAUGACGUAGAAUUUGGGAGAAAAUAAGCUCUCCCAGUCCUGUUUCCCCCUCAUCUAACUGGAGUUUUGAUUUCCUGUCAGGUUAAACAUCGUGGUUUUUGCACGUGGUGAAGGAAUUCACCCGUGUAAGUUCACGCAUACUUGGAUGAACUGGUCCCGCCCGCUUGCCCUUGGGCGUUUUCUGGAUUGCUCCUUUCCCGGUUUAGAAGGACCCUUCUCCCUCUGGUUAACGCGAACCCCAUCGAAGCCUCAGCUCGCACUUUCUCUUAAGCAGAAAGGGGAGUUCCCAGCCAGCCGUGCUGCUUUUAUUUAUAGCACUUGAUUUCCUGAGAGGAGUCAGGGAACGUCCGUCCUCCCCUGGCCCCUCGGGCUCCUCCUCUGCCCUCGGUCCCCCAGCUGCGGGCGGGCGGGGGCGGCGUGGGGGCUGGACGGGGACCCCCGUGCCAGGU